GAUCAGGGAACCUUAAAAUUAUAGCUGUCUCCCCUAGAAGUUAUAAUACAUCAUUUCCCCUCUCAAGCAAUUUACAACCUCAAAUUUAUUUAGGACAAAGGGACAGAGAUCUCAUCUUUUGGAGCUGCUUCAUGCUAAUAAGGGGCUGUUCUUGACUAGUGGGGUGCAGACUUAGGAGAGGAGGCACACAACUUGAAAAUGGCAGCAGCAGCAUUCAGGGGUCGGAAUUGGAGUGUCAGAAUUAGUGGAUGAUAUUCAGGGUGAAUAAAUAGUUGGAAGUUCAUAGCUUGGGGUCUGGAGUCUGGAGGAAAAAACAAGGAAGGUGAUGUAGAAGCAUCAGGAGUGAGUUUGCUAGAAUAACUUUGGAAUAGAUAUCCUACAAUGGAGGAAACAAAUCUACCAAUUGGAAUAUUAGUUCUCUGGAGGUUAUGAAGAAGCUUCAAGGAAGAUGGUGUAGUUUACUAGAAUAAUUUUGGAAUGGAUAUCCUACAAUUAACAUAACCUCCAUUUGAUGGAAAGUAUUCAGACCAGCUAUAUCUUUAUUUCUCCUGACUCCAUGAACAUUUUCUCCAUUAUGAAGAGAAUAUGUAGAGAAUUUUCACCCUGAAAGGUCACCAUACUUCAGAUAUACAGCCUCUUGUAUAUGAGCAAUUUGGUUGCUGAAAAGGUUUGGGAAAUGAACUUUUGAAUUGGAUUUGGGGGUAAGAUUUUAGAAAAGGACUCAACUGCAAGAUGAAAGGUGACCUCAUACUAUGCAUAAAAGCCAGAACUUUUGAAGUUUGAAGAGAACUACAAUCGGUAAAAUUACAUCUCUGUUUUUUACUUCCUUCUAGUUUUCUUGCUAGAUCUAUAACUCACCAUUUCUUUUUUCUUUAAAAUAAAAAAAAAA